ACAUUCAUAACUGUGUGCACUGAUUAUUUUUAAAUCCUCUUCUGUUCAUGCACAGAGACUUCAAGGUCAUACCUGGCUGUAACAGGUAAACUUUCUGGACCUCUUUAUGAUCUCAGCACAGACAGAACACUGUUAUAUUUACUGAUCAGAGCUUGUAGAUCUUGCCUCUUAACAAGUUCAUCUUCAGGUGCUUUUAUACAGGUCAGAAAGACGGUGGAUGCAGAGCCUAUCCCGGGAACGCUAGAUGUGAUGCAGGGGAUACAUCCUGGACGGGACGCUAGUCUAUCCCAGGACACAAUGCACACAAAUUUGUUCACACCAAAGGGCAGUUUAGUCACCAGUCCACCUACUGGCUUGUUUUUGGGGAGUUGGAGGAAACCGGAGAACUCUGAGGAAACCCAUGGGGACACAGGGAAGUAACCAGAGCUCAGGAUAUUUAUCAGUGACAGCCAUUAGAGCGUUUUAUUUUUCACCCACAGAACCAAAAGCAAUACAAAGUGUUAUUCCAAAAUGUUUAGCAUAUGAGCAAGUUCAUCUUCUUCUUCAGGUUCAUUUAGUUGAGACAGGGUCACAGUGAAUCCACAUCCAGGGAAUGGGGCGCACACACUUAUUCAGACUUGCACAGGGCAUUAUAUCCACACACACACACACACAUUUGUUCACAUAAAGGGGCAAUUUUGAGACAAUAAUCCACCCACCGGCAUGUUUUUGGGAAGUUGGAGGAACCCAGAGAUCUCUAUGGAAACUCAAGUGGCAAACCAAGUGAAACUCCAGAUAGACAGCUCAGGAUCGAACUAGGAACAUAAUCCAACUAUUUAAAUAAUAACAUACAUCAGCCCAGGGUUAUAUUUAUUAAUCAAAGCCAUUAGAGCUUUUUUUAGUUACAAAGUAUAGAUCUUAAACUUUUUGCAUAUGAUUAAUCUUCAUAAUCAGUAAGCGGUUAGAGUCGUGUCUGAUCCGGAGUCUAUCACGGGAACACUAGCUGGAGGAUCUGGAGCCUAUCCCACAAACACUAGGUGUGGUGCAGAAAUACACCAUGGAUGGGACACCAGUCUAUCACAGGACACAACACACACGUUCAUUCACACCAAGGGGCAAUUUAGAGUCACCAGUCCACCUCCCGGCAUGUUUUUGUGAUGUGAGAGGAAACCCACACGGCGAACAAGUGAAAGUCCACACAGACAGUAACCCUCGGGCUCAGGAUCGAACCAAAGACCCUGGAGCUAAGGUGUAUGAACGUGACAUGAUUAUAAUCAAACUAUUCAGAUAUUAAGCACAUUGUUAUAUUUAUCAAUCAGAGCCAUUUUUAUUUUCACCCAAGGAACCAACAGCAGUUACAGACUUUAGCUUUUGCAUAUGAACAAGUUCAUUUUCAUCUUCAGUAAGCUCUUUAUCUUGGUCAGGGAUGCGGAGGAUCUGGAGUCUAUCAGAAACACUGGGUGUGAGAGAAAUGCUCAGUAAGUGUUCUUGCAGCUGGGAUAAUGACUCUUGGAUUUGGGAGGGAAGAUCGUGGCCGAGAUCCUCCAUGGCGCGGGACAGGAACGCCUCAGCUGCUUCUUGGACUGCAGCGCGGGUCACCUGGUCAUUCUGGGUCCACAUGGGAGUGCGGGUCAGCUUGAACCGCUCUGUAAUGGAGUAGCGAAGAUGACCUGAUGGAGGAAAUGUAAAAUUAACAUUAAAAAGAGUUUGCUGAAUGGACAAGAAGAGGGAAGGAUUUAGUUUUGUACCUGUUAUCACUUCUUGAUAGCUGAGCAUGAGCAUCCACACAAGCUGCAGGAGCUCAUCCCACCUUCUCCAUCUCUCUGCGCCAUCCUGAUAGAAAAAAGAACAACAUGCAGUGGUGUAAUCAGAAAACGCUUUCUGCUGCCUGCAAUUCCUCCUUGGAGGUUUGUGGGUUUGAGUUUGGGGGUUGUGAUAUCUGUUCAAGUGGUUUUGGUGAAAAUUUCUUUGUUUUUAUUGGAGUUUUUUAGUAGCAUCAGUGAGAAGUUUAACAGGCAGAAUGAACACUGUUGUAGGCGUCACGUUACAUUCGUAUAUGUGGCUGCCAUGACUUUUUGUUCCUGACACGUCCCAAUGGAAUCUCGCCUCGCAAUGACGAUAUUCUCAACAGGAUCUGAAGGCAGCAUUACAACCCUUCUUAUGUGGCAAUACAUAGUACACAGAUUUACCAGUUUAACCAUAUCAAGUUAUUCAACAUAUCUAGUUUAUUAACUAUGCUGCUGAAGUAACUAAUAACCUGGUAAAUCAGUGUAUAGCCCAUAAGGUCAGAUAUAUAUAACAGCUGUAUGCUAAACAGAGUGCUGUCCAAGCGUGAAAAAGCACCUCACAUGACGCACACACAGUAACCCUAACAACAUUCUUACCUGUCCUAACUAGUAUCAGCUAAAUAACUAGCUUAGCUUAAAUAUUAGAAAGAUGAAAUAAAGAUUGGUGUAACUCUGGUGAUGAGGAGGUUUUUUGCUUUUUGCCUAUAGCUUUGGAGGUGGAAAAUCAAGAGAAUUUGACUGUAUGCAUCCACAGUUAUUGUGACAUCACAUCACGUAAUGUUAAACGUCCCAAAAACAGACACGUUGUUAUUUUUAGCUACACUGCAAUGUUGGAGUAUAUUUUUGAUUCAACACACUGUAAAUCUUCUCAUAUUUUCCCACGAACAAGACUGAUUUUUCACCACAAGUGUGAAAAGAGCCUUACAGAAAUGUCUCACAGGUAAAAUACUAUUUUUUUCCUUAAAAUCCAGAACACAUGGCCAUCGAUAUUCAUCAGAUAUGUUCUAUUACUAGCUCAAAAUCUGUUUUUAUACUAUUGACAUUGAAAAAAUCUACCCAAAAAUAUUUUUUUGUUUGUUAUACCUAUAUUUUAGUUUAGUCCUUGUUAUGUUCAAUUUUUUUUAACCAAAAAAAAAAAAAAAAAAAAAAAGCUGUGAGCAUGAGUAUGAUUACGAUGAUGAUGAAGAUGAUUAAUAUGAGUGAGUGUGAAAUGCUGCGGUCUCACCGAU